AAGUCUUAAACAAACAUGCAUUAUUGAGUCCAAUAAUUAAACCUCAAUCAUGGUCUUUAUAUAUCUCUUUCUUCUUACCCGCUUUGAAGCACCACUUAUUCAAACUUCGUAUCUCAUUAAUUUGCAAAACACAAACAUUAAUUACCUUACACUUUGCACAUUAAUUAUACUAGCUAAUCAUGGUUGGUCAAUCGGGAAAUUUUACAAAAGCAAGCCUAGUUCAACUGAUGAAUUCCAUGUCCCUGAUAGCUAGAUCCUCUUUAAAAACGCGAGGUGGACCAAGAAGAUCAGACCUAAGCAACGGGGGUGGUGCACAAAAUAAUAACAUUGGAACAAAGAAGAAGAAUGAGAAUUUGGCAAACAACAAAAAUUAAUUAUGACAAUAAGUUGAUUAUAAGAUAAAAAGUAUAGAUUCUGCUCUUGUCAUCUAUAAUUAUCAAUGUGUGCUUCAUCAUUUCAUGAUAUUGGCAUUCCUAUAUAUCUUUAAAAGACAUGUAUUUACUUUAUGAUUGUUAAUUUGAUCUUAUAUUCUUCAA